GAUGAACGCUAGCGAUAGGCUUAACACAUGCAAGUCGAGGGGCAGCACAAGGUAGCUUGCUAUCUGGGUGGCGACCGGCGCACGGGUGCGUAACGCGUAUGCAACUUGCCCUAUACAGGAGGAUAACCCGUCGAAAGACGGACUAAUACUGCGUAUGCUCACAACUUGGCAUCAAGUGGUGAGGAAAGAAAUUCGGUAUAGGAUAGGCAUGCGUCCCAUUAGCUUGUUGGUGAGGUAACGGCUCACCAAGGCAACGAUGGGUAGGGGAACUGAGAGGUUUAUCCCCCACACUGGUACUGAGACACGGAUCAGACUCCUACGGGAGGCAGCAGUGAGGAAUAUUGGUCAAUGGGCGCGAGCCUGAACCAGCCAAGUCGCGUGAAGGAUGACUGUCUUAUGGAUUGUAAACUUCUUUUAUACGGGAAUAACAAGAGUCACGUGUGACUCCCUGCAUGUACCGUAUGAAUAAGCAUCGGCUAACUCCGUG
rnacentral:rRNA from 1 species